UACGUAGGGCGCAAGCGUUGUCCGGAAUUAUUGGGCGUAAAGAGCUCGUAGGUGGUUUGUCGCGUCUGUUGUGAAAGCCCGGGGCUUAACCCCGGGUCUGCAGUGGAUACGGGCAGGCUAGAGGCAGGUAGGGGAGAACGGGAAUUCCCGGUGUAGCGGUGGAAAUGCGCAGAUAUCGGGAGGAACACCGGUGGCGAAGGCGGUUCUCUGGGCCUGUACUGACGCUGAGGAGCGAAAGCGUGGGGAGCGAACAGG
rnacentral:rRNA from 1 species